rnacentral:rRNA from 1 species
GAUGAGCGCUGGCGGCGUGCUUAACACAUGCAAGUCGAACGGACUUAUGUUGAAGCCUAGCGAUACAUAAGUUAGUGGCGGACGGGUGAGUAACGCGUGGGUAACCUGCCGUAUACCGGGGGACAACAGUUGGAAACGACUGCUAAUACCGCAUAAGCGCACAGUUUCGCAUGGAACGGUGUGAAAAACUCCGGUGGUAUACGAUGGACCCGCGUCUGAUUAGCUAGUUGGUGAGGUAACGGCCCACCAAGGCGACGAUCAGUAGCCGGCCUGAGAGGGUGAACGGCCACAUUGGGACUGAGACACGGCCCAAACUCCUACGGGAGGCAGCAGUGGGGAAUAUUGCACAAUGGGGGAAACCCUGAUGCAGCGACGCCGCGUGAGUGAAGAAGUAUUUCGGUAUGUAAAGCUCUAUCAGCAGGAAAGAAAAUGACGGUACCUGACUAAGAAGCCCCGGCUAACUACGUGCCAGCAGCCGCGGUAAUACGUAGGGGGCAAGCGUUAUC